CGGCGUGCCUAAUACAUGCAAGUCGAGCGAACAGAUAAGGAGCUUGCUCCUUUGACGUUAGCGGCGGACGGGUGAGUAACACGUGGAUAACCUACCUAUAAGACUGGGAUAACUUCGGGAAACCGGAGCUAAUACCGGAUAACAUAUUGAACCGCAUGGUUCAAUAGUGAAAGGCGGCUUUGCUGUCACUUAUAGAUGGAUCCGCGCCGUAUUAGCUAGUUGGUAAGGUAACGGCUUACCAAGGCAACGAUACGUAGCCGACCUGAGAGGGUGAUCGGCCACACUGGAACUGAGACACGGUCCAGACUCCUACGGGAGGCAGCAGUAGGGAAUCUUCCGCAAUGGGCGAAAGCCUGACGGAGCAACGCCGCGUGAGUGAUGAAGGUCUUCGGAUCGUAAAACUCUGUUAUCAGGGAAGAACAAAUGUGUAAGUAACUGUGCACAUCUUGACGGUACCUGAUCAGAAAGCCACGGCUAACUACGUGCCAGCAGCCGCGGUAAUACGUAGGUGGCAAGCGUUAUCCGGAAUUAUUGGGCGUAAAGCGCGCGUAGGCGGUUUUUUAAGUCUGAUGUGAAAGCCCACGGCUCAACCGUGGAGGGUCAUUGGAAACUGGAAAACUUGAGUGCAGAAGAGGAAAGUGGAAUUCCAUGUGUAGCGGUGAAAUGCGCAGAGAUAUGGAGGAACACCAGUGGCGAAGGCGACUUUCUGGUCUGUAACUGACGCUGAUGUGCGAAAGCGUGGGGAUCAAACAGGAUUAGAUACCCUGGUAGUCCACGCCGUAAACGAUGAGUGCUAAGUGUUAGGGGGUUUCCGCCCCUUAGUGCUGCAGCUAACGCAUUAAGCACUCCGCCUGGGGAGUACGACCGCAAGGUUGAAACUCAAAGGAAUUGACGGGGACCCGCACAAGCGGUGGAGCAUGUGGUUUAAUUCGAAGCAACGCGAAGAACCUUACCAAAUCUUGACAUCCUUUGACCGCUCUAGAGAUAGAGUCUUCCCCUUCGGGGGACAAAGUGACAGGUGGUGCAUGGUUGUCGUCAGCUCGUGUCGUGAGAUGUUGGGUUAAGUCCCGCAACGAGCGCAACCCUUAAGCUUAGUUGCCAUCAUUA
rnacentral:rRNA from 1 species